rnacentral:rRNA from 1 species
ACUUCCUACGGGGCGCAGCAGUGGGGGAUAUUGCACAAUGGGGGAAACCCUGAUGCAGCGACGCCGCGUGGGCGAAGAAGUAUUUCGGUAUGUAAAGCCCUAUCAGCAGGGAAGAAGAAAUGACGGUACCUGAGUAAGAAGCACCGGCUAAAUACGUGCCAGCAGCCGCGGUAAUACGUAUGGUGCAAGCGUUAUCCGGAUUUACUGGGUGUAAAGGGAGCGCAGGCGGUUCUGCAAGUCUGAUGUGAAAGCCCGGGGCUCAACCGCGGGACUGCAUUGGAAAAUGCGGGACUGGAGUGUCGGAG